UGACACAUAAAAAUACCAAAAGAGAGGUUAGAUUAUUACAUAGAGUCGAUCCAAAAGUACAUCAUAUUCAUUAAUAUAAUAUUAUUACCAUUGGAAACGCAACAUAGAACACAUAGGGAAUAUAUAUCACACCAAAUAGUUUUAUUUAUCCAUAAGUUUAUUUAUUCAUAAGGAUUUAGGAUGGCCAUAAUACUUCAUCAUACUGAUGGGAGGGGGAAGAAAUAUCUAUUUCCCAACAUGGUGAGGCUCAAGGUCUUUGAGGAGGCAAAUAGCUAAUUCAAAAAUAUCAAGGGGCUCUGGUAUGUUUUCAUUCAACUUCUCAUACACAAAGGUCCAAGUCAUCCAGUUUCCCUCUGCAGUCAAAGUAGCUGUCAUGGACUUGUAUAAUUC
rnacentral:lncRNA from 1 species